rnacentral:rRNA from 1 species
UACGUAGGGUGCGAGCGUUAAUCGGAAUUACUGGGCGUAAAGCGUGCGCAGGCGGCGCGUUAAGACAGGUGUGAAAGCCCCGAGCUUAACUUGGGAAUUGCGCUUGUGACUGGCGAGCUGGAGUGUGGCAGAGGGAGGUGGAAUUCCACGUGUAGCAGUGAAAUGCGUAGAGAUGUGGAGGAACACCGAUGGCGAAGGCAGCCUGCUGGGCCAGCACUGACGCUCAUGCACGAAAGCGUGGGGAGCAAACAGG